rnacentral:lncRNA from 1 species
GACACAAUUUGGAGAUAUUAUUCCAUGUUUAUCUACCCAAUCGAUUACAUCCCAUACAAAGAAACUCCAAUGAAAUUAAAAUACCAAAAAAAAGAGUCACAUAUCCCAAGUCGUUGCCUCUCUCUCUCUCUCUUGUCAAGAUAUAAAUCAAGUCAAUUUGAUUGCAUAAAAAUAAUUUUGACAUUAACAAUGUUUAAUAACAGGGUAGCUUAAGUUUCAUUAUUAAUACACUACACUCCAACAUGAACCCUAAUUAAGCAUCACACCAAUAGAAGCAGCUGCAUUCAUUGAUGUUCUCCGGAGGACAAUAGCCAACUCCAUGAUCGUAACUUUGUGCAUACGUCGCUCGAGAACGUGUCUUUCCUGCAUGUCUUAUUCUUCUCUCCCUUCUCUUGUCCUGACUUCCAUUAAAUUAAAUUAUAAAUCAUAAUAAAUAUUUUUUUUUCUUAUUUUUAAUAAUUUAAAUUAAAAAUAAAUCUUAUGUGAUAGCAAAUCCAACAAUGUAAAUUAUUUAUCUACGAUUAAUUAUAGUGCACCAUUAUCAAUAUAAUUGAAUGUCGAGAAAACAAAUAACAAAUUAUAUUUCAAUCAUCAAUGUGUCUCAAUAGAAAUACACUAUAAUGAUGACACAUUAAAUACACCUCCAUGCAUUCAUAUUUGCUUUCUUGUUUGACAAAAAUAAAAAUAAAAACUAUAUUUUGAAGUAAAUAUUAAUUUCAUGGUAAAAAUUAAAAUUUACUCUUGAGACCAAAUUAUGAUAGUCGAAAUUUAUACAAGACUAAGCAUAUCAAAUAUUAAAAUUAUUUAAUUAUAUAAAUAUUUAAAAGAUAAAUAAAUAAUAUUUUCCUCGUCCCAAAAAUAUAAAUAUUAUAAUAUAAAAUUAUAAUAUUUUUCAUCAUGAUCAUAAGCGCAAUAAAAAAAUGAAUGAUGGGAGAACAAGAUAUAGAUAGAGAACACCAUAAUAUACAUGUGAUGAAGUACAAGAUGGUAAAGGAAUGGGGAGAAGAGAACCUUCGCUGUUGUGAAAAAAGAUGAGAGCGAUGAACAAGAAUGCCCAAAUCGACUUCAUCUUCUAUUCGUGCUCACGACAAAUCGGAUCGAGAAUUUAGAGAGUUCCCAAUUCUUUUUGGUGCUCA